GACCCCAUCUUCACUUUGCCACCAGGAUUGUUCAUGUCCUCAGUGGUCAUUCAUGUGGGGAAAAGUAAAUCAUCCUUACACACCCCAGUCUAACUGCUGUUUGACCUGGGGCUGUAUUGAGGAGACAAGU